UUCAUCUCCGGGGGUAGAGCACUGUUUCGGCUAGGGGGCCAUCCCGGCUUACCAACCCGAUGCAAACUGCGAAUACCGGAGAAUGUUAUCACGGGAGACACACGGCGGGUGCUAACGUCCGUCGUGAAGAGGGAAACAACCCAGACCGCCAGCUAAGGUCCCAAAGUCAUGGUUAAGUGGGAAACGAUGUGGGAAGGCCCAGACAGCCAGGAUGUUGGCUUAGAAGCAGCCAUCAUUUAAAGAAAGCGUAAUAGCUCACUGGUCGAGUCGGCCUGCGCGGAAGAUGUAACGGGGCUAAACCAUGCACCGAAGCUGCGGCAGCGAACGUAUCACCCAAGACAACUUUACGGAGUUGACGAUUGACGGAGCGAAGCGACGUCAAAGCGUUCAUUAAAGUCGAGUUGGCUUAGGGAUACGUUCGUUGGGUAGGGGAGCGUUCUGUAAGCCUGUGAAGGUGUGUCGUGAGGCAUGCUGGAGGUAUCAGAAGUGCGAAUGCUGACAUAAGUAACGAUAAAGCGGGUGAAAAGCCCGCUCGCCGGAAGACCAAGGGUUCCUGUCCAACGUUAAUCGGGGCAGGGUGAGUCGACCCCUAAGGCGAGGCCGAAAGGCGUAGUCGAUGGGAAACGGGUUAAUAUUCCCGUACUUGGUGUUACUGCGAAGGGGGGACGGAGAAGGCUAUGUUGGCCGGGCGACGGUUGUCCCGGUUUAAGCGUGUAGGUGUGUGUUCCAGGUAAAUCCGGUU
rnacentral:rRNA from 1 species